UCCGUCAGUGAUACAGGUGUCGGGGGUCGACCUCGGUGCCGCAGUUAACCAAUAAGUAUUCCGUCUGGGGAGUACGAUCGCAAGAUUAAAACUCAAAGGAAUUGACGGGGGCCCGCACAAGCAGCGGAGCAUGUGGUUUAAUUCGAAGCAACGCGAAGAACCUUACCUAGACUUGACAUCCCCUGCAUAACCCAGAGAUGGGCGAAGUCCUUCGGGACAGGGUGACAGGUGGUGCAUGGUUGUCGUCAGCUCGUGUCGUGAGAUGUUGGGUUAAGUCCCGCAACGAGCGCAACCCUUAUCAUUAGUUGCUACCAUUAAGUUGAGCACUCUAGUGAGACUGCCCGGGUUAACCGGGAGGAAGGUGGGGAUGACGUCAAAUCAUCAUGCCCCUUAUGUCUAGGGCUACACACGUGCUACAAUGGUGAGGACAAAGAGAUGCAAGACCGCAAGGUGGAGCCAAACUCACAAACUCAUCCCAGUUCGGAUUGUAGGCUGCAACUCGCCUACAUGAAGCCGGAGUUGCUAGAAAUCGCGAAUCAUCAUGUCGCGGUGAAUACGUUCCCGGGCCUUGUACACACCGCCCGUCACACCAUGAGAGCUGGUAACACCCCAAGUCCGUGAGGUAACCGUAAGGAGCCCCCGGCCGAAAGUGGGAUUAGUGAUUGGGGUGAA
rnacentral:rRNA from 1 species